rnacentral:rRNA from 1 species
UACGUAGGGUGCGAGCGUUAAUCGGAAUUACUGGGCGUAAAGGGCGCGUAGGCGGCCUGCUAAGUCGAACGUGAAAUCCCUGGGCUCAACCCAGGAACUGCGUCCGAUACUGGAUGGCUUGGAUCCGGGAGAGGGAUGCGGAAUUCCAGGUGUAGCGGUGAAAUGCGUAGAUAUCGUGAGGAAGACCAGUGGCGAAGGCGGAUCUCUGGACAGUUCCUGACGCUGAGGCGCGAAGGCCAGGGGAGCCAAAGCGGG